AAAAAAAAGCUCCCCCAUCUGCCCACAACAGAAAAGCCAAAACAAAUCUCACGCCCGCGCCGCCGUUCGCCUGCCCCUGCCGCCCUACCCGCGCCGUCAUUCACGCCUCCCUGGACUGGCGCGUCUCCCCUCCACGCGUGGCCUGCAGCGUUGGGCCAAUUGCCGAACCGCAGCGAACGGCCGCAGAGAGGAACGAGAGGAGGAGAGGGAGAGAGGCGUGGCUCGCCGGCCGGCGGAGGCACGAGACCUCCUCACUGGCGGCAGGAGGAGAGGGUGAGAGACGUGGCGAAUGGGUACGGCUCGCCGGCCGGCUGAGGCGUGAGAUCGGCGACGAACGUGAGCCCUUAAGUUCUGCAGCUUGGCCGUGAACGUGCCGCGCAUGCUGCGUCAAGUCGGUGGCGGCGGCGCGUUCCACCCACUCAGCUCGAACGGCAGAUGCCCAGCACCACCGCGAGGGUUGAAGGCGUGUUCCAUCUCAUUGUCGUUGUCGCAAUGGGCCGGCAGCAAGCCACCGAAUGAUCCAUCAGCGAAGACGCUAGGAGUCUCAGCUGCAGAAGGAUGCACAUCCUCACAAGGGGAGGUCCUCGAGUUCCAAAGACAAGGGCAGAGGACGCGAUGAGGACAAGGACAGAGGUCGCUACAGGCGCCGUGGGGAAGACAGGGUGUGGCACCGGGACAGGGAGAGUGUCUGUGUAACCAUGACUGCGGUGGUCGGGACAGGGCCAGUGAUCGCCACCAUCGUGAGCACCGUGAGAGGGGUGAAAUAAGGGAGCACUGUGACCGUUUCGAUGAUCGUGACCAUCGCCGGAGCCGUGAUCAUGAUGCUGAAAGGGAACAAUGAUGAAUUCUAUGGAGGAUGCUCAUGGAAGGAAAGGCUCUACUGUCUCAACAAGGAUGGAAAGCAUAACAACAUACACAAACCAACGUGGAGAACCCAAAUCUGGACAGAUGAGACCUGGAAGAUACACCAGAAACUGAAGAAAAAGUUCUCAAAAGUGCGGAAGACAAUAUAGAGGCUGGCGAUCAACUCUAAGCUCCACUUACAAGGCAUACAAAACAGAUGCAGCUAGAUUGGCUAAUCUGCUAGAAGAUUUACAGCCAGAAGAGUGGGAAUGGAUGAUUGAGUACUUUGGCACUGAUUCAGAAUUUCAGGAAUGCAGCCAAAAGAACACCGAUAGUCGUAAGAAAUAGAAGACAAACACAUAUUUGGAUCAAAAUCUUACUCGCAACUAAGUUUUGAGAAGAGAAACUUGGAAACUGGAGAAGAGCCAGAUUGUAUUGCUCUGUGUGAACUCACCCACACGAAGAAUGGAACAUGGCCUGGCACAGAGUCCCAGAAUGUUUACGUGAGUACACUGACUUUUGGUUAUUCUAUAGUUAUUCAACAAUGUGCAUUCGGCAUGCUUCUGCAUCAGCUGGGAUUAUUCAUGCGUUGGAUCGUGUUAUUCUUGUUUCAUCUUUUAUAGUGUCAAUAUUGAUGCCGCACCUAUAAUUGUUCUUUCCGUUUUUAGGACAAAGCACGUCUAAGAUGUUGAAAACAAAGAAACUGAAACUCAUGGUCCACUUUCAAGUGAGCAUGUCAUUGGCCUUCAUAAUUAGCUAGUUGUUUCUUCUCUUUCACCAUGCAUUGUUGCUGCAUCGAGUCACAACAAUGCCUGUAUUUUUUUAGGUUGCAAUAGGCUAUUGCCACAACCCACUUUUGGUUGCCACAUGUUAGCACCACGAAAAUUUAAAUUGUCGCAAUAGUUUCUCGCUACAAACAUUUCACCCGUUGUGAUACCUAUUUAUUACCGCCAAAACUAGUAUGUUGCAAUUUCCUAUUACGACGACUGGAAUAUUUGUUGCCAUAACUUAAUGCCACAAAUGUAGCGGUUCGUGGCAAAAUGCCUAAUGCCAUGAAAACAAGGAUUGUUGCCAUAGUUUAUUGCCACAAUUUACUAUUGCCACGGAACAGUAUGCACCACGAAACAUGCGUCGUUGGCAUAGGUUGUUGCAACAAAUGUCUAUUGCCACGAGUUAUCAGUCGCCAUGAUUCGUUACAUGUUGCAUUAAAACUAUCUCCACAAAGCAAAUUGUGGCAUCAGAUGAGUGUUGCCACAGGAAAACAUGUGGUGACUUCCCACAUGGCUGUUGCAAUAGCACACUUUAUUGCCAUAAUUGCUAUUUUGUGGCAAUAACCUAUUACCAUGUGUCCAGUCGCAACGGCUGCCAACGAAUGUUGUUUCGUGGCAAUAGGUACUUAUCGCUACAAAUCGGCAUGUAUUGCGACGAACAAUUUUGUUGUAAUAGACCCGGAUCCUUGUAGUGGUCUUUACAAAUUAUGUUGUAGAUCAAUAGCUCGAGUUGUAGCUCCCUGUUUUAAUACGUUCCUAGAGAAAGACUAAGUUGAAAGAUAUUGUAAGCAAUUAUGCAGACUAGGUCUGUAGUCUGAGGAUUGUCCUCACUGCUGCACAAAAGGCCUAUGUCCUUGAUGCACCGCUCGGUGUGCCA